AACGAUGGAAAAGUAAUAAGUAAAAUUUAAUUUUUUAUUAGAAUUACACAUUCAAUAAAGCGAUAAGUUUUUUAAUUAAUUGAUAAGAUUUUAUAAUAAUGUUCUCCAGGACAUGGAUAGCAUGGAAGAUGUUUCUGCUGUGUUUCCGUACAUGUUUAUGCGCCAGCUACGAUGACAAUACAGGCAUUGAGUAUAAACAGAACCCUGCGCCGGAUGGACACAGAUGCGGAAUCUGUCCUACAUAUUUUCAAAAGAUUUGUGCCUUUAACUUCGAUGCAAAUACCACAUAU